rnacentral:rRNA from 1 species
CAGUCGCCGCGGGAAUACAGAGGAUGCAAGCGUUAUCCGGAAUGAUUGGGCGUAAAGCGUCUGUAGGUGGCUUUUCAAGUCCGCCGUCAAAUCCCAGGGCUCAACCCUGGACAGGCGGUGGAAACUACCAAGCUGGAGUACGGUAGGGGUAGAGGGAAUUUCCGGUGGAGCGGUCAAAUGCGUUGAGAUCGGAAAGAACACCAACGGCGAAAGCACUCUGCUGGGCCGACACUGACACUGAGAGACGAAAGCUAGGGGAGCAAAUGGGAUUAGAUACCCCUGUAGUCCUGUCUCUUAUACA